UACGUAGGGCGCAAGCGUUGUCCGGAAUUAUUGGGCGUAAAGAGCUCGUAGGCGGCUUGUCACGUCGGUUGUGAAAGCCCGGGGCUUAACCCCCGGGUCUGCAGUCGAUACGGGCAGGCUAGAGUGUGGUAGGGGAGAUCGGAAUUCCUGGUGUAGCGGCGAAAUGCGCAGAUAUCAGGAGGAACACCGGUGGCGAAGGCGGAUCUCUGGGCCAUUACUGACGCUGAGGAGCGAAAGCGUGGGGAGCGAACAGG
rnacentral:rRNA from 1 species